CCUACGGGAGGCAGCAGUGGGGAAUAUUGCACAAUGGGCGCAAGCCUGAUGCAGCCAUGCCGCGUGUGUGAAGAAGGCCUUCGGGUUGUAAAGCACUUUCAGCGGGGAGGAAGGCGGUGAGGUUAAUAACCUCAUCGAUUGACGUUACCCGCAGAAGAAGCACCGGCUAACUCCGUGCCAGCAGCCGCGGUAAUACGGAGGGUGCAAGCGUUAAUCGGAAUUACUGGGCGUAAAGCGCACGCAGGCGGUCUGUCAAGUCGGAUGUGAAAUCCCCGGGCUCAACCUGGGAACUGCAUUCGAAACUGGCAGGCUAGAGUCUUGUAGAGGGGGGUAGAAUUCCAGGUGUAGCGGUGAAAUGCGUAGAGAUCUGGAGGAAUACCGGUGGCGAAGGCGGCCCCCUGGACAAAGACUGACGCUCAGGUGCGAAAGCGUGGGGAGCAAACAGGCUUAGAUACCCGAGUAGUC
rnacentral:rRNA from 1 species